GAUAUUCCGACAAGAAAGAGAUUUUCAGCGGAUAAAAAAGCAGCGGAGACACUUACAGUAACAGAGCUCGGAUAUGGAGGCCGUAAUGUCCUUGACCGUUGCAUCCCGCCAUUUCUUGUCUACCUGUUUCUCGAGAAACAACCACAGAAGCUUUAGCGUCUCGAAAUGCAGGAGAACUUCCUCUGAUUUUUGUUCUUCAUGGACUGGUUCUUGCAGCGUCGCUUUUCCCUUUCUUCCACAAAUUUGUUUGCUAGGGAGAUAUUGGGCUGGUGAAUUGCAAGAGUGUUAUUGUGAAAAGAGAUUUUCGUGGCGUGGUAAAGGCGGAAAUGUUUGGGCAGUUAACUAGCGGCCUUGAAGCGUCUUGGAGCAAGCUCAAAGGAGAAGAUUUUAACUUGUCUUUUCAUGGACCUUGUCUUCCUCAACUCGAUGUUCUUUUUUUUUUUUUUUUUUUUAAAUGGCUUCCCACUGGAAAUUUGACAGGUCUUCUUCUCCGGGGACCUUCAUAGUUUUGUCAUUUAGCAACUCAAUUUGUGUCGUGGAUGUUAAAUACAUUGCAAGUAACCAAAGUCUGCUUUGGGAGACAGAUUAUGCAUUGGCUGAUUCUUAAGUUGAUAUUGAUUUGAUACUUUCGUGAAUCCAACUGAAUGUCUACAUGAGGAAAGAGAGAAACCAGAAUUGUUGGCAGAAUCUCCUGCAAGGAGGAAGAGAAUUGCUCAGGAUUCUGGGAAAACAGAGCAGCAGGUGAGUCAACUUGUUGCUCAACUAUUCCAAAUGCGUGUUCGUAUGAAGAAUCUGAUGGGCGUAAUGGAGGGUAUUCCUGCUCUGAGUAAUCUUGAGAAUGCACUUAAAGCUGAGCAGAAGGCUCCUCCUGGUACUGCAAGAAGGAAGAGGAGGUCAGAAUCAAGGAGGCAAUUUGCAGACUCAGCAUCAUCAAGGCCAAGUCCUCGUGGUUUUGGGUCAAGAAAUUAAGAGCUUAAGGUGGUGGGCUCUGGAACCAUGAGUUCAAGCCAGCAGAUCAUAGACCUCAAAUUUGUUACCUGCUUACGAAUAUCUCUACUAUAAAGGUAGAGUUAAAUGUUCCUUAAGCUAUGAUAACUCAUUAUCUUGCCAUGUUUAUUAACUAUUAAGACCAUGAAUUUUGCCAGUCACCAUAAACCGAUACCAUGUAUUAAUGUCUGUAAGUUGUUUAGGAAUUCAACUGUAUCAUUGAGAAACAAAAACAGUAGAUUUGUAACUGGUUGUUCAAGACUAUGUAGCUUAAGAUAAUUUAUGAUUUUUUUAGAGCCAGUUUCUGUGGUUCUUAAUGUUGUGCUUGAUGAUUAGUAACUAUGCAAAUCCAAUCAUUGAUCAAAGAAGCCAAGCACCACUGUAAUUAUGCAAGAGAGCUUAUUUCGCACGAGCUUUCAGCCAUCUGAUCAAGCAAUUUCACUUGAUCAGAUGGAUGUUAUCUCAUGUGCAUGGUGUGCAUCUGCGCACCAAAUCAUUCCAUUCUACAAAUACGAUACAAAUGUCUAGGAAACAGUUAUUUCCAACAGAUUUUCCUUGAAGUUCUAAACAGAGAGUCGUUGAGACCCAUAAAACAAUAACUACCUCUUAGCGUUUUGACAUGACACUUGUAGAAACUAAAUUAUUUAAAAGCCAAGUUUUGUAGGUCUCUUUUUUUUUUUUUUUCCUCUCUCUUUUUCUUGGACAAAUAAAGAAAGACACAAACCUUGGUAAAGAAGACUUUUGAAGUGAAAGAAAAAUGGCAACAAAUGUAGGUUCAGAAACCUCAACAUUUCCUCCUGCUGAUGUUGACAAAGAAUUGCAUCCUGGCCAUAACAAGAAGAUUGAAGUUGAUUCUGUAUCAUCUGAUAUUGCUACUUCAAAGCAUCUCAAGGAACAAGAAGAGGCUAAACAAAAGCAGAAGGAAAGGGACAAAAGGGAUGCCAUGCAGACGCUGAAAAAAACUAUCUUAGUUUCAGCAGUCAUUGCUGCUGUGGCCGGAGCAGCUUUUGCCAUUACCAGAAAAUUGAGAGAGAAGUGAUCAACUUAUUCUCCAACUGGCCUUCGAUGGUGUCUGGCAAAUUUUUUUUUAUUAAUAUCUUCAUUCUUUUUUUUUUUUUUCAAAUUAUUAUGAGCUCAUAGGCAUUCACAUUUCCACUUUAUUAUUGUUCCCCUAAUUUAAAUAUGUUAUAAUAAUGGAAUGAAGCAAUUUAGUAAAUGGCAA